AACGUACGCUGGCGGCACGCCUAACACAUGCAAGUCGAACGAAGUAGCAAUACUUAGUGGCAGACGGGUGAGUAACAUGUAGGUAUCUGCCCUUUGGCCUGGAAUAACACGAGGAAACUUGUGCUAAUACCGGAUAAGUCUUUACGGAGAAAGCUUUAUGCACCAUUGGAUGAGCCUGCACUUGAUUAGUUUGUUGGUGGGGUAAUGGCCUACCAAGACUGUGAUCAAUAGCUGAUUUGAGAGGAUGAUCAGCCACAUUGGGACUGAGACACGGCCCAAACUCCUACGGGAGGCAGCAGUGGGGAAUAUUGCACAAUGGAGGAAACUCUGAUGCAGCGAUGCCGCGUGAGUGAAGAAGGCCUUUGGGUUGUAAAGCUCUUUCGUCGGGGAAGAAAAUGACUGUACCCGAAUAAGAAGGUCCGGCUAACUUCGUGCCAGCAGCCGCGGUAAUACGAAGGGACCUAGCGUAGUUCGGAAUUACUGGGCUUAAAGAGUCCGUAGGUGGUUGAAAAAGUUAGUGGUGAAAUCCCAGAGCUUAACUCUGGAACUGCCAUUAAAACUUUUCAGCUAGAGUAUGAUAGAGGAAAGCAGAAUUUCUAGUGUAGAGGUGAAAUUCGUAGAUAUUAGAAAGAAUACCAAUUGCGAAGGCAGCUUUCCGGAUCAUUACUGACACUGAGGAACGAAAGCAUGGGUAGCGAAGAGGAUUAGAUACCCUCGUAGUCCAUGCCGUAAACGAUGUGUGUUAGACGUUGGAAAUUUAUUUUCAGUGUCGCAGGGAAACCGAUAAACACACCGCCUGGGGAGUACGACCGCAAGGUUAAAACUCAAAUGAAUUGACGGGGACCCGCACAAGUAGUGGAGCAUGUGGUUUAAUUCGAAGAUACGCGCAGAACCUUACCAACACUUGACAUGUUCGUCGCGACUCUAAGAGAUUAGAGUUUUCGGUUCGGCCGGACGAAACACAGGUGCUGCAUGGCUGCCGUCAGCUCGUGUCGUGAGAUGUUGGGUUAAGUCCCGCAACGAGCGCAACCCUCACUUUUAGUUGCCAUCAUUAAGUUGGGCACUCUGAAAGAACUGCCAGUGAUAAGCUGGAGGAAGGUGGGGAUGACGUCAAGUCCUCAUGGCCCUUACGUGUUGGGCUACACACGUGCUACAAUGGUAUCUACAACAGGAAGCAAGACUGCGAAGUUAAGCAAAUCCCUAAAAGAUACCUCAGUUCGGAUUGCACUCUGCAACUCGAGUGCAUGAAGCUGGAAUUACUAGUAAUCGUGGAUCAGCGUGCCACGGUGAAUGCGUUCCCGGGUCU
rnacentral:rRNA from 1 species